AUUGAACGCUGGCGGCAGGCUUAACACAUGCAAGUCGAGCGGGGAAGGGUAGCUUGCUACCUGACCUAGCGGCGGACGGGUGAGUAAUGCUUAGGAAUCUGCCUAUUAGUGGGGGACAACAUUCCGAAAGGAAUGCUAAUACCGCAUACGCCCUACGGGGGAAAGCAGGGGAUCUUCGGACCUUGCGCUAAUAGAUGAGUCUAAGUCAGAUUAGCUAGUUGGUGGGGUAAAGGACUACCAAGGCGACGAUCUGUAGCGGGUCUGAGAGGAUGAGCCGCCACACUGGGACUGAGACACGGCCCAGACUCCUACGGGAGGCAGCAGUGGGGAAUAUUGGACAAUGGGCGAAAGCCUGAUCCAGCCAUGCCGCGUGUGUGAAGAAGGCCUUUUGGUUGUAAAGCACUUUAAGCGAGGAGGAGGCUACCGAGAUUAAUACUCUUGGAUAGUGGACGUUACUCGCAGAAUAAGCACCGGCUAACUCUGUGCCAGCCGCCGCCGUAA
rnacentral:rRNA from 1 species